rnacentral:rRNA from 1 species
AUGCAAGUCGAGCGGAUGACGGGAGCUUGCUCCCUGAUUUAGCGGCGGACGGGUGAGUAAUGCCUAGGAAUCUGCCUGGUAGUGGGGGAUAACGUUCCGAAAGGAACGCUAAUACCGCAUACGUCCUACGGGGGAAAGCAGGGGACCUUCGGGCCUUGCGCUAUCAGAUGAGCCUAGGUCGGAUUAGCUAGUCGGUGAGGUAAUGGCUCACCAAGGCGACGAUCCGUAACUGGUCUGAGAGGAUGAUCAGUCACACUGGAACUGAGACACGGUCCAGACUCCUACGGGAGGCAGCAGUGGGGAAUAUUGGACAAUGGCGAAAGCCUGAUCCAGCCAUGCCGCGUGUGUGAAGAAGGUCUUCGGAUUGUAAAGCACUUUAAGUUGGGAGGAAGGGCCAGCAAGCUAAUACCUUGCUGUUUUGACGUUACCGACAGAAUAAGCACCGGGCUAAACUUUCGUGCCAGCAGCCGCGGUAAUAACGAAGGGUGCAAGCGUUAAUCGGAAUUACUGGGCGUAAAGCGCGGCGUAGGUGGUUCGUUAAGUUGGAUGUGAAAGCCCCGGGCUCAACCUGGGAACUGCAUCCAAAAACUGGCGAGCUAGAGUACGGUAGAGGGUGGUGGAAU